rnacentral:lncRNA from 12 species
UUGAGGAUGUGUUGUUCACAGAAGCUUUGAAGUCCCUGCUCAUUUGGUGGAGUUGGGGGGAUGCCAGAAUGGUGUACCCCCCCCCCCCCCCCCCCCCCCCCCCGUUGCUUGCUCCUUCCCCUGGGGCUGAGUCUACUCCCUCCCAGGAUGUGCUGGGAGACAGCUAGUUUCAGCCUGUUGAUGGGAAGCAGGUUGGAAGGUCCAGCCUCAGGAUUUUCUGCGUAUGGAAAACAACACAUCUGCGGUCUCACCUUAGCAUCUACCGAGACUCAAAGUUAAGGCUAAAUCACUUUCUCAGGGUUUUGUUUGGACAAGUCUUGAGAGGAUAAAAAUAUUUGGCUCUCGGCCCCUCUUCUGUUGACCUCCUUGAUGGCAGCAGCAAUGACCUUGUUGCUUGGUCCAGCUUCCUCCACUGUCCAGCAUGUCAACUGCUCAAACUAACACUUUUUGAAGAGAGUGGAAUGAAAGAAUAGGAGCCAGAACGGAUUCUCCUGGAUAUUUGAGCAAUUCAGAGGCAAAGACAUUUUCUGGUUCUUGUUUUGUGUAGUGCAGAGAAAAGUUGACCUGCUUGUUCACGGUUUUUUUUUUUUUUUUUUGGUCUUUUGGAAUCAAGAUGGUGGUGAGGAUGAACUGGUGGUAACAGGAGGCUUCGAAGGAAGGCACUCCUUUGGCGGUUCAUGUGUCUAGUCUUCUCCCAAGGGGCAAAGAACCCGAGAACUGCGUACCUGUUCCGACGACGCUGUUCCGUCUCAUUCCAGAAGCGUCCUUGCGGGGCGCCGUUCAUUGCUUGGUAGCCGUUCUGUGGUGAACCGCCGUAGGCCGGGCAGGUGGGGGCAGAGGACCUGUGGGACUGCUACGGAGGCUGUGGCCUGACCGCUCUCUAUCCGUCUUAUCCAGAAUCCGAGUAACAACACGUGCCGCUUUAUGAAUCAUGACGAAAGGGACGGAUUACCAGGCUUUAGCAUUAGGGACUUCUAUUUAGACAUUAUUAUUUCACGAUUUUGACAAGGUUGAGGAUUCAAAAAGUGCUUUAUGAGCUCAGCUUUGUUUCCAUCUGCAACACUCCUGCCAUCCUGUGAAACGUGGUGUGUGAAUCGAUGGACUCGAUGUCGAAUUUACUGUCUAAUAAAAAUGCCAAUUUAAAACA